rnacentral:pre_miRNA from 1 species
UAUAAGUGUAUGUAAGAUUUGAUCGUUCGUCUUAUUUAAAAGAUAUAAUUAUUAUUUUAAUUGUUAUUAGAUGAUAAAAUAUGAAAAUAUACUUUAUGUGCGACUGAUUUUUUUUAAAAAAAAGUUCAUAAUUUUUUUCAAAUAAAACGGACGGUCAAACUUUGGAUAUGGAAACCUACAAACACACUUAUA